UACAUUUCCGAGUUCCCAGAACAAAAUCGAAUCUAAGUUUUGAGAGCACAAAAAAAAUAUUAGAAUAUAAAAGACAUCUGGGAGAUUGUGUCUAAACCAGGUCAGUCUCGUUGAACGGUCGAAACUGAUCAGUCGUAUUAUUCGCUCGGAUAUUUCAUUUCAUAUUUUCUAUAGCUACGUUUAAUCAAGAUGAAUAAUUCGGUAGAAGAUGAAUUGAUAUCGAUCGAAGCCACGGCCAUCUUCAUCAUUUGGAAAGCUGGAACGCCAAAACCGCCAGUCACGUCGGAGCCUGCCAAAUGUUGUCCAUUCCGGUCCUUCACGUCGUCCGUUUAUUCAAAAUGAACGUGGCAACAUAAAUGCGCACCUAUGGGAAACCGCGAAACAAACUUGAGAGUAUCCUUGGAAAUGUAGAUACAACUAACAUUAUUCUUUUAUAAACUACACUAUAAAUUAAUGCGAAUUAAAAGGGAGAAAUACACUCGGCGUCGUGUUAUAUUGUUAUUGGUGGUUUGUUUGUUAUGUUAAAAAUAGCAAAACAUGUUCUUUGUGCUCUGGGAUAUUCCCUGGCCAACAUUCCUGUUGAGUCAUCACUAAAUUUAUAACAAAUUAAAUAGAUA